GAACACAAAUUUCUUAUCUCCCCUUCUCUCUCUCUCACUCUCAACUUUUCAAGUUUCAAUCCGCCGCGAAGUUGCUUAUGCCGAUGCUGCGGAGGAGAUCUAGGCCGAUCGGGAAAGGUGCACAAGGUUAGAAGAGAGCACAGCCCUAGCUUUAGGGCAAUCGGACUUAACCCUAAGUCUCUCCAAAGAAAGGGCUCCUGUUGUGUUUUGGAAGAAGAUGAUGUGAUGGGGUUUGAUAGAGGGGCAAAAACCAUAAAGGAUUGUUGUGAACUCACUUUUGGAUGUCUGCUUCAAGGGCAAAUAUUAAUCAACAUCUUGAGAGUUACAUUACCAAGAAGAACAAAGAAUAUCAUGAUGUGUUUGAAUAGCACAAAUAGCUAAUAAAGGAGGCUUCAAAGGUUGGAAGUAUUUUGUUGUUGUGGAUGAUGGGUAGACCAAUCAAGACAAUAAUUACUUGAAAUUUGUUUUCUCCAACAAAAUGGGAAGCAAUAGAGUCCUCUUCACAACUUAGGAUGGGCAUUCAGCUAUAUGCAGAUACUUAUCGUAAACUGCACCCUUCAAAAUUUUUAAGAAAUAAGGAAAGUUGGAAGUUACUGAAGAGGAAAGGUUUUAUCAAAGAAAGUUGUUGUAUUGAGCUUGAAAAGGACGGGGAAUACAUUGCUAUAAAAUGCGGUGGACUACCACUUGCAGAAGUAGCCAUUGUUGGUGUCUUAGUCCAAUACACUAGCAACAACCACUAUUGCAAGUGGCAGUCCAUUGCACUUUAUAGCUAUAUGUUUAUGGCCUCUUUUAGUUCAAAAGGGCAACUCCCCUUGAGAAAAACCUUCUUCUAGUAGCUCCCAACUUUCAUCAUUUCUUUAAAAAUUUAAAGAGUGCGGCUUACAAGCAGAAUCUGCAUAUAUAGCUACAUUCUCAUGCCUAGUUAUUAAGAGAUUCUACUCCCUCUCAUGUUAUUGAGAAAAGCAAUUUUCAAAUAUUUCUAGUCUUGUCGUCCACACAUCAUCUGGGACAAUGAAAUGCUUACCACCCUCUAAAAGUUCCUUUAUUUUAGUCGUUAAAUGCUCUUCAGGCAUAUCAUGGUACUUCAUUUUCUUCCUUACUUUAGCACUCUCAAGCAGCCCGACAUCAUGCGUGGAGUUUGCACUCUCUUUUUGAACCAUCGUGCAAAAUAACCUUUUGGAGUCAAUCAGGGUAAUAUUUUCCUUAUUGGCAGAGUCAACUCUUGUGUGACAGGUUGUUCAGGUUUGUUCUUUCACGCAUUUGAAUUUUAUGAUUUCAUUCUGAUGUUUUGUAUAGUCCAGUGACUGUACCAGACCUGAUACUUUGACCACAUGUUAGCAUGCUUAAACAAUUGGGUGGUGCGUUCUACCUAUGACCAAUGUCAUUGUUUUUUUGACCAAUGUCAUUGUUAUUUCAAAGAAACUGGAAGAUAUUAACAAGCUUUGUGCAACAUCACUGAAAUUGAAUGCUAUGAGCAUUAAGCUCUCCCCUAAACAAGUUUGCGGUCACAUGUUCUGCGAGUUAACAUAAUUUCUAGUACAGCCAUUUUUGCAUUCCAUGAAAUAUUUUAAUGUUGGUUAACCCUCUACACAUUGCAUAUUUGCAUAUAUGUGAAAGAUCUAUUACAAGUUUACAACAUUUUUGGUUGGGAAUAGAAUAACUUUUCUCUAUUUUAUGUCAAGUGUAUCUUUUACAUUUGAUUUAUAAGUUGUAAUGCUAAAUAAUGUUUUGGCAUUUCCUUUACCAUUACCAAUUCUUGUAUCUCAAGCUUUGUUACCUAGCAUUAAAUCCACUAUUAUGCCACCUGAAAGGAAUUCAGUCAGGGAAGCUUGAAGCUGCAGCAAUCAACACAUUUUUGCAAGGAAAAAUAUAUUGAUGACCACCACACAAAUUAUUUCUUUGAUAUCACUUGUACUUAAGUCUGUGAUGUAAAUGCCUACUUACAUAUUGCCACUAUGAAUUCUUGUUUUAAUAGGCAAAAUUGUUGUCUUCAUUUCUUCUCUA